AUGCAGAGGAAGUGGCAUUCUGGAAGAUCUGAUCCUAAAUUAAGAAGAGCAUUAAGGCGCAGUUGAAAACAAACCAAAAAUAUCUUCAUAGAAACUUUCAAAUAUCACCGGAUCUUUGCUAUGCUCUUGGCCAUCACUAAUAAAUGGAUUCUGAAGACAGAUUUGCCUCAACUAUUCUUCUAGGAGAGGGACAAGUUUGUUUUUAACUUUGAUGGUGGUGAAUUCAAGAAUAUUUUUGCCCUAUUAAACAACAGUAUGAUCUACCUCAAGACUUGGCCUUAACUAGUUAAACUUUUGGAUCUCUGAAAGAACCCCAAUAGUUCCAGUGAAAGAAAUCUCAUAAUCCAGCAGUUGACAGAACUCUAACACCACCUAAGAUUGAAGAACCACUUUGGCUAAGGCAAAGCACAGGCAUGCGUUUCCCAGGUGUGGGCUCUGAUCCUGAAGAGAUGAGAGCUACUUUCCUUGAGUUAUACUGUGAUUGAGUGGGUUAUCUGCUUGAUUCAGAGAUUCCACUAGAAGAGAGAGAGAGAGAGAGAGAGAGAGCAGAAGGGGAAGCAGCAGGAGAGGGAGAAACAGGU